AGCGAACGCUGGCGGCAUGCCUAACACAUGCAAGUCGAGCGCUCCCAGCAAUGGGGGAGCGGCGGACGGGUGAGUAACGCGUAGGAACGUAUCCUGAGGUGGGGGAUAACCCUGGGAAACUAGGGCUAAUACCGCAUGAUGGCGAGAGCCCAAAGAUUUAUCGCCUUGGGAGCGGCCUGCGUCUGAUUAGCUUGUUGGUGGGGUAACGCCUACCAAGGCGAUGAUCAGUAGCUGGUCUGAGAGGAUGAUCAGCCACACUGGGACUGAGACACGGUCCAGACUCCUACGGGAGGCAGCAGUAAGGAAUAUUGCUCAAUGGGGGAAACCCUGAAGCAGCAACGCCGCGUGAAGGAUGAAAUACUUUUGUAUGUAAACUUCUGUAAGAUGGGAAAAUAUUCUCCUCGGGAGAAUUGAUUGUACCAUCAGAGUAAGCCCCGGCUAACUACGUG
rnacentral:rRNA from 1 species